GGAUUUAAAUUCCCAAUUUUUCUAACAAUGUGUCACAUGACAGCUUGUGCUGUUCUUAGCUAUGUAUCCAUUGUUUUCCUCAAGAUUGCACCUUUUCAGAGGAUUAAAUCAAGAUCCCAAUUUUUCAGAAUUGCUACUCUCAGUAUUGUCUUUUGUGGGUCUGUUGUGGGUGGCAAUAUUUCUUUAAGGUAUCUGCCUGUUUCGUUCAAUCAGGCUGUUGGUGCCACAACCCCAUUUUUCACUGCAUUGUUUGCUUAUUUGAUCACUCGAAAGCAAGAAGCUUGGAUCACUUAUGGUUGCCUUGUUCCUGUUGUUACUGGGGUUAUAAUUGCUAGUGGGGUAUGUUUAUAACCUACUAACUUAUUUUUCUUGAAUUAUUUAAUUGCUUGUUACUUACGAGAUCUUUACACAAAUACAUAGCACGUAUAUAUAGAAUACCUGGUUAUGCACAUAUUAUACUUGAAUUAUAGAUAUAUUAUACAUGUGUCAGCUAUUUUAUUUUAAGCGGUUUGGUGGGCAGCUAUUUAGAUUAUUUAUCUUGUUACACUUUGCGUUAUCUCUAACUAUGGUUGUGUAGAAAAGGAACUUUUUCUUAAUUUUCCUACCUUUUUAGGUCAAUCUUUCCCGAUUAAAGAUGAUCUACACUUCUUAUCAAAAGUCUGAUUUUCUUUCCGAAGUCUAGAUUAACUGCUUGAGGUUAGAUAUGAGAAUUUAUGGAUGCUCAUAUCGAUACCAUAUACCGCCUCAACAAUCAGAGGUGGAUAUAAAAACUAAAUUUGAUUAAAGUUGAUGCUCAUAUCUCAAGAGUUUGCUUUUCUUUUCUAUGGAAAUUAUGUUACUUUCACAUUCUGUUUCAAUUGUCAUACAGAUCACUUCUUUCUUUUUUAACUGAUAGUGUCUUCCCUUGAUGUCUGAAUUGAAGAUAAUAAAAGAAAUUGACUUUGUACGGCAUUUUCUGAGUAGAAUCUGUCUUGAUGACAUAUAUACAGCGUCCACCACUAGAAAAUAAAUAUACUUUCAGCAAUUCAGAGAUUCUUAAUUUCUCAUAAUUUAGUUUAAGAUUUUAUUCACUAAGAAAGUGAUACUACUAGUUAUACUGAUUUCUUUACAUGGUCUUUUUGUGUUGUGUUAUACUUGAAGUUUAUAAAGCCUACCAAAUCUUUGUCUAUUGUUGUUGAAAUCAGUUCUGUAACUGUAAUUAUGGCCAAUAUUUUGGCUAAUGGAGUCCAUCUCACAUAAACAUAAGCAUCUUUGCAAAGUGUAGAUUAUGUUGACAAUAUUCUUUGGGACCCAAAAAUAUUGCAUUAUGUGGUGGACAUCAUUUGCACAAGUUGUAUCUCUUCUUUUACACCUAAGAGGCCAAGGCUUUUUUGCCUAUAAAAGGGAAGACAAUUAGUUCAUUUUAGAAAAACCAACAUGACUUGUCUUCAAUUCUUGUUUCUUCCUUUCUUCUUUUAUUAAGAGUGUUUUGUAUGAGAGUUAGUGUUGGGAAGCACUUGUGUGAACCCUUUCUUUCUUUGGAAUGAUCUUGUGAGGUUAUUCUCUUAGGGUAUUUGGGAUUAAUUAGAGUGUUUACUCUAAUUUUGUAUUCUCUUUUGUACUCUUAUUGUUAUAGUAAAUUGCUCCUCUCCGCUUGUGGACGUAUGUCACUUUGACCGAACCACGUUAAAUUUGUGUCUUCUUUAUCUACUUUAAUUGUCGUUGUUAUCAACUUCCAUUGUCUUUGUUAUUUCCAUUAUACCGUUGUUUGGCUAUAUUCCGCACUACCCGGGUUCCCGAUCCUAACAGUAACCAAGUUGAAAAGUUUCCAGUAUUUUUUGAGUGAAGAACUUGGCAACUAGUUAACAUCAUAUAUAAUCCCUAUUAAUCAGGGAGUUAUGAGAAUUUGAGGAGCUUUCUUUCUUUAUAUGCUAAUAAGAAUCUUAAUUAAUUCGUGGCAGGGCGAGCCAAGCUUCCACCUUUAUGGAUUUCUAAUGUGCAUAGGUGCAACUGCUGCUAGAGCCUUUAAGUCUGUUCUUCAGGGUGUCCUUCUUUCUUCUGAAGGGUAAGUACUUUAAUCUAUUUAUAUCUCAUUUUGUUGUUCCAUAGAAGGGGAGCCUUGUCGUAACCAUGUGACCAGGAGGUCACGGGUUCAAGCCGUGGAAACAGGCUCUUGCAGAAAUGCAGGGUAAGACUGCGUACAAUACACCCUUGUGGUCCGUACCUUUCCCGGACCCCCGCAUAGCGGGAGCUUAGUGCACCGGGCUGCCCUUUCUUUUCUUUUUCUUUUUUCUGUUGUUCCAUUGAUACAUUAGUGUAACCUGCUGUUGUUUUUCAGGGAAAAACUGAACUCAAUGAAUCUCCUGCUCUACAUGUCACCCAUUGCUGUUCUCGUGUUAUUGCCUGCUACACUCGUUAUGGAGCCCAACGUUAUAGAUGUCACUACGACACUCGCGACAGAACAUAGGUUCCUUGGCUUACUUAUUUUGGUUAAUUCUGCAAUGGCAUAUGGUGCCAACUUGUUGAACUUUUUGGUGACUAAGCAUACCAGUGCAUUGACACUCCAGGUUCGCGCUAUACCUCUCUUUUCCUCCUGCCUUCUCCCUCUUUUUCCCCCUCUAAUUGGUAGUGUUAUGUGGCAAAAGAAAGAUGCACAAUGAUAACUGAGGGGUAUGGUGGAAUGGUUGAAAUCCUUUCACCCUUAAUAAGAAGUGUCGGGUUCAAGCCCAGGAGUAGAGGACCUAUAGCAUUUGCCACUAGACCAUUUCGUCAGUAACAUAAUUUCACCCUUAAUAAGAAGUCUCGAAUUCGAGCCCAGGAGUAGAGAACCUGUAGCAUUGGCCGUUAUAGACCAUUUCGUCAUUAGCAUAUGUCUUUGCUCUCUAACUUGCCAUAUGUCUUUAGACUUCAUAAGAAAGAUCACGCUUAGUCUCACGCCAAGGUUAAUUUUCUAAAUUCGUUGUUUAAACACGAGACUUCUAAAUAUGCUUUUUCAACUUCAACUUAAAAUUUCUAUAAACUUCAACCAAAUAUUGUCCAAACACCUACUAUAUUUUUCAUUAAUGGUUCUAAAGUUGUACCGUCGUUUUUCAUGCUAAUCUGCAAUGUACAUUGCCUUCACUUGAUGUUUAACAUCUUUAAUUAUCUGUUGCCUGCUAUAGGUCCUAGGCAAUGCAAAAGGAGCAGUGGCUGUUGUUAUCUCCAUACUUAUAUUCCAAAAUCCAGUAACUUUUAUUGGAAUCGCGGGCUAUACAAUGACAGUGAUGGGAGUUGUUGCUUAUGGAGAAUCCAAAAGAAGGCACAAAUGAGUUGAAAUCAGGCCCCUUUCUUCUUUUUCUUCAAGGUUAGAUGUGGGGUAGAGUUAGGAUGAAAUAGAGAUUUCUCCUUUGCAAUUUUGUAGCACAUAGACAGAGGAAAUAUUGGUAAAGGGAACAGAGAGGAAAAUUGAGGUGCAUUCUUCUGUUGUAUUCUUUUUUUAUCCAAAGGGUAUUCUACAGAUGUCUCUGAUUGUUAUGUUGUUACAUUAAAGUAAUAAAAUGUCUCGUUGGUUUUCUGGUUAAUUUCCCUAUAAAUCUUCAGCUGCUGAUGAGAUUUUUAGGACUGCAAUUUUUGAAAUACAUAUG
rnacentral:lncRNA from 1 species